CUACCCACAGCAAGCAACGGGCUUUCCGAAAUAGAAACCACUAAAAAGCAAGCAUUCAGAAUGUACAGCCAGAAGUAGCCGGUACAAGCCGAGCUACGAGGCUCCGGCUCCGGGCUGUUCACGUGACCAAUCCCUACUUGUCAACUCUCUUUGCCGAGCGUGGUCGCAUCGUUUCGUGCGGUACGUGCCAGCAAUGAGGGCCAAGUGGCGUAAGAAGCGGAUGCGAAGGUUGAAGCGCAAGCGCAGGAAGAUGCGUGAGAGGUCCAAGUAGGCCGGACCCACGGGUGGCGAAUGACAAGCCCAGCUGUUGGCAGAGGGAGUGUGUCCCAAGACGCCGCCUUCACCUUCCUGGCUUGGCUGCACCACUAUCGCCUGGCUCCUGCAUCGGAUGGUGCCCUUGCUCUUACAUGACGGACCCAAGCUCUCGAAGUGCGCAAGGCACGCCUCUGGACAUUGGAUCAUCACUUUCGCCUCCAUUAAACACUCAUCCCACAAUGA
rnacentral:lncRNA from 1 species